rnacentral:rRNA from 1 species
UGCGUACCUUUUGUAUAAUGGGUCAGCGACUUAUAUUCUGUAGCAAGGUUAACCGAAUAGGGGAGCCGGAGGGAAACCGAGUCUUAAUUGGGCGUUAAGUUGCAGGGUAUAGACCCGAAACCCGGUGAUCUAGCCAUGGGCAGGUUGAAGGUUGGGUAACACUAACUGGAGGACCGAACCGACUAAUGUUGAAAAAUUAGCGGAUGACCUGUGGCUGGGGGUGAAAGGCCAAUCAAACCGGGAGAUAGCUGGUUCUCCCCGAAAGCUAUUUAGGUAGCGCCUCGUGAAUUCAUCUCCGGGGGUAGAGCACUGUUUCGGCUAGGGGGCCAUCCCGGCUUACCAACCCGAUGCAAACUGCGAAUACCGGAGAAUGUUAUCACGGGAGACACACGGCGGGUGCUAACGUCCGUCGUGAAGAGGGAAACAACCCAGACCGCCAGCUAAGGUCCCAAAGUCAUGGUUAAGUGGGAAACGAUGUGGGAAGGCCCAGACAGCCAGGAUGUUGGCUUAGAAGCAGCCAUCAUUUAAAGAAAGCGUAAUAGCUCACUGGUCGAGUCGGCCUGCGCGGAAGAUGUAACGGGGCUAAACCAUGCACCGAAGCUGCGGCAGCGACACUGUGUGUUGUUGGGUAGGGGAGCGUUCUGUAAGCCUGUGAAGGUGUGUCGUGAGGCAUGCUGGAGGUAUCAGAAGUGCGAAUGCUGACAUAAGUAACGAUAAAGCGGGUGAAAAGCCCGCUCGCCGGAAGACCAAGGGUUCCUGUCCAACGUUAAUCGGGGCAGGGUGAGUCGACCCCUAAGGCGAGGCCGAAAGGCGUAGUCGAUGGGAAACGGGUUAAUAUUCCCGUACUUGGUGUUACUGCGAAGGGGGGACGGAGAAGGCUAUGUUGGCCGGGCGACGGUUGUCCCGGUUUAAGCGUGUAGGUGUGUGUUCCAGGUAAAUCCGGUUCACUUUAACACUGAGGCGUGACGACGAGGCACUACGGUGCUGAAGCAACAAAUGCCCUGCUUCCAGGAAAAGCCUCUAAGCAUCAGGUAACAUCAAAUCGUACCCCAAACCGACACAGGUGGUCAGGUAGAGAAUACCAAGGCGCUUGAGAGAACUCGGGUGAAGGAACUAGGCAAAAUGGUGCCGUAACUUCGGGAGAAGGCACGCUGACACGUAGGUGAAGUGAUUUACUCAUGGAGCUGAAGUCAGUCGAAGAUACCAGCUGGCUGCAACUGUUUAUUAAAAACACAGCACUGUGCAAACACGAAAGUGGACGUAUACGGUGUGACGCCUGCCCGGUGCCGGAAGGUUAAUUGAUGGGGUCAGCGCAAGCGAAGCUCCUGAUCGAAGCCCCGGUAAACGGCGGCCGUAACUAUAACGGUCCUAAGGUAGCGAAAUUCCUUGUCGGGUAAGUUCCGACCUGCACGAAUGGCGUAAUGAUGGCCAGGCUGUCUCCACCCGAGACUCAGUGAAAUUGAACUCGCUGUGAAGAUGCAGUGUACCCGCGGCAAGACGGAAAGACCCCGUGAACCUUUACUAUAGCUUGACACUGAACAUUGAGCCUUGAUGUGUAGGAUAGGUGGGAGGCUUUGAAGCGUGGACGCCAGUCUGCGUGGAGCCGACCUUGAAAUACCACCCUUUAAUGUUUGAUGUUCUAACGUGGACCCGUGAUCCGGGUUGCGGACAGUGUCUGGUGGGUAGUUUGACUGGGGCGGUCUCCUCCUAAAGAGUAACGGAGGAGCACGAAGGUUGGCUAAUCCUGGUCGGACAUCAGGAGGUUAGUGCAAUGGCAUAAGCCAGCUUGACUGCGAGCGUGACGGCGCGAGCAGGUGCGAAAGCAGGUCAUAGUGAUCCGGUGGUUCUGAAUGGAAGGGCCAUCGCUCAACGGAUAAAAGGUACUCCGGGGAUAACAGGCUGAUACCGCCCAAGAGUUCAUAUCGACGGCGGUGUUUGGCACCUCGAUGUCGGCUCAUCACAUCCUGGGGCUGAAGUAGGUCCCAAGGGUAUGGCUGUUCGCCAUUUAAAGUGGUACGCGAGCUGGGUUUAGAACGUCGUGAGACAGUUCGGUCCCUAUCUGCCGUGGGCGCUGGAGAACUGAGGGGGGCUGCUCCUAGUACGAGAGGACCGGAGUGGACGCAUCACUGGUGUUCGGGUUGUCAUGCC